rnacentral:lncRNA from 1 species
GGGGUCGCAAAGAGUUGGGCAUGACUGAGCAACUGAACUGAACUGAACUGUUGCCUAAAAAACAUCUUUUAAUAAUAGGCCUUAUGAGAUGUAUAGAAAAAGAGAUAAAUAGAAAAAGCUUUCCCUAGAUCUGAAGCUGUCAUUAUAAAAGAAGACAAAGAAAAUAUUGUCCUCAUUGCAUUUUUACUGAGAGGAUCACUUUUCAAAAAAAAAUGUAUCUGAAAAAAAGUAAGAUUAAGAUAACGUGGGAGGCUUAUUGUGGUUUCUACCACUCAGAAUAUACCAGCAAUUUACAUAAUGGCUCUUGGACACCAAACUCUGCAAGCUCUAAUUUCGUCGAAGUUUGCUCCCGGUGCUCCCCCCAUCAGUAUAUCUCCUUACAUUAUAGAGAAAACAUUAGAAUUCAGAAACCCCAUUCAGAAACAGUCAAGUUAACCCAUCACUUCUGAAACAUUAAACUUAAUUCUUAUUAUACUUCUGAUUGUUGGAGAUAAUAUCUAAGCAGUUGAGGAGAUUUCUGUUUUUCUCUUACAGGUGUGAGAACCCCUGACUUUCAUGGGCCAUUGGUGAUGACGGGGCUCAGAACUAAGAGUGAAGCUGGGUACCAGCUCAUUGAUUCUUCCUCCUCUUAACCAUGAGUCCAAGCUCCUCAGAGGGGCAGGUCAUCUGAUCUUCAAUGACAUAAAAUUCCCACACACAGUCCCAGAAGGAGAAUUGGUGUUUUGGGGCUGUGAGUGCCAAGUCUCUCCACUUUCUAAAGAAGAACAAAAGAAAACACAAUCUAAUCCAGCAAUAUGAGGAAACACUAACCAACACCAUUCUUAAUUUAAUACGUACCUCAGUAGAGUCAGGAUGUCAACCCAGGUGGUCUUUGUUCUUAACUAUUCUACUUAGUUGGUUCUCACUCCCUAAUAAUGAAAUAGUGGCAUAUUUUGUAUAACUCAAUAUUCCAUUUCUGAAAUCACAAUAUUUUCUCAAAAUCUGCUUUAACUCUUAUGUUGCUGAUUCUGGUUACUGACAUAACCCAUCUAACCCAUCAAACCAGAUCCCCUCAUGUGUGUUAAUUCCCCGAGGAUAAUCUAUCACUUUUAUCUAUCAAUUCUAUUUCCUGCAUGUCUCUCAGUCUGCUCUCUCAUCUACUGCUUAUGUAUACCUAGUCAGCUCUCCUUGGGCCCCUCCAACAGCCUCCUCCAUGGAGGCUGUCACUUCUUUCAUAUCCUUUAUCCAUUCCUUCUCUGAUGAUCCUAAAACAAAAGCUAAUCAUACUAUUCCCACUAAAAAAAAAAAAAAACUCUCCUGAUUUCCCAUCUUCUCUAUCAGUGUCUUCAGGCUAUUUCUCCAUGAACCAACAACAUAUUAGUCAUUCUAAGGAUCUUUUAAAAAGUACAGAUUUAUGGCUGCCACCUUGACCCCAGUGAAUCAGAAUUUCUGCGGAUGGGACUCAGGAGUCUGAAUUUUGUUAACUGCUGCAGGAGAUUUUUAUAUACACUUAAAGUUAGAGCAGAGAAGGCAAUGGCAACCCACUCCAGUACUCUUGCCUGGAAAA